rnacentral:sRNA from 1 species
GGGGACGUUUUGGAUUAGACAGGACGUUUGGUAGGAAUAUAUGGCGUGUCGGAGAGCUGUUCUCCGUUAUCAACGGGCAAACUAAAUUAAAUGCUAACAAUGUAAUUGAAGCAGAUUUCGCUCCUGCAUAUGCAGUUGCAGCAUAGUUUCUGCUAUUUAGCUACUCAUAGAGUCCAGCUUGCCGAUUUUAUGGGUCAAUUAUGCAAGCGGCAGUGCGCCGAUGCAAAGUAAGCGCAUCAAGAUAACUUUGCAAGGUUUAGAGUUUCCUUUAAAUAAAACCUGGGAUUGAUUCGUAUGGUUUAGACUUUUUCCUGAAUCAAUUGAGCAAAAAACAGUCUACACAUGUAGAAGUAUAUUUUUAUCCGUUUUGGACGUGGGUUCGACUCCCACCGUCUCCA